rnacentral:tRNA from 1 species
GCCGAGAUGGCAGAGCGGCCUAAUGCGCCGGUCUUGAAAACCGGUGGGUGCAAGCCCGCGGGAGUUCGAAUCUCCCUCUCGGCG